UGAGGAAUAUUGCGCAAUGGGGGAAACCCUGACGCAGCAACGCCGCGUGAACGAUGAAGGCCCUCGGGUCGUAAAGUUCUUUUCUGAAGGAAGAUAAUGACGGUACUUCAGGAAUAAGUCCCGGCUAACUACGUGCCAGCAGCCGCGGUAAAACGUAGGGGGCGAGCGUUAUCCGGAUUUACUGGGCGUAAAGCGCACGUAGGCGGCGCUGUAAGUUGGAUGUGAAAGCUCCUGGCUUAACUAGGAGAGGUCGUUCAAAACUGCAGUGCUUGAGGUUGGAAGAGGAGAGUGGAAUUCCCGGUGUAGUGGUGGAAUGCGUAGAUAUCGGGAGGAACACCAGUGGCGAAAGCGGCUCUCUGGUCCACACCUGACGCUGAGGUGCGAAAGCGUGGGGAGCGAACGGGAUUAGAUACCCCCGUAGUCC
rnacentral:rRNA from 1 species